rnacentral:rRNA from 1 species
UCCGUAGGUGGACAGAUAAGUCAGAGGUGAAAUCCUGCAGCUCAACUGUAGAACUGCCUUUGAUACUGUUUGUCUUGAGUUAUUGUGAAGUGGUUAGAAUGUGUAGUGUAGCGGUGAAAUGCAUAGAUAUUACACAGAAUACCGAUUGCGAAGGCAGAUCACUAACAAUUAACUGACACUGAUGGACGAAAGCGUGGGUAGCGAACAGGAUUAGAUACCCUGGUAGUCCACGCCGUAAACGAUGGUCACUAGCUGUUCGGAUUUCGGUCUGAGUGGCUAAGCGAAAGUGAUAAGUGACCCACCUGGGGAGUACGUUCGCUAGAAUGAAACUCAAAGGAAUUGACGGGGGCCCGCACAAGCGGUGGAGCAUGUGGUUUAAUUCGAUGA